CGUAGGGUCCGAGCGUUGUCCGGAAUUAUUGGGCGUAAAGGGCUCGUAGGCGGUUUGUCGCGUCGGGAGUGAAAACUCAGGGCUCAACCCUGAGCGUGCUUCCGAUACGGGCAGACUAGAGGUAUGCAGGGGAGAACGGAAUUCCUGGUGUAGCGGUGGAAUGCGCAGAUAUCAGGAGGAACACCGGUGGCGAAGGCGGUUCUCUGGGCAUUACCUGACGCUGAGAAGCGAAAGCAUGGGGGAGCGAACAGGAUUAGAUACCCUGGUAGUCCAUGCCGUAAACGUUGGGCGCUAGGUGUGGGGACCUUCCACGGUCUCCGUGCCGCAGCUAACGCAUUAAGCGCCCCGCCUGGGGAGUACGGCCGCAAGGCUA
rnacentral:rRNA from 1 species